UCUGAGGCGGAGUUUAUCCCCUCUGCACACCGUGGGCUCUCCGCACUUGUCAGUCGCAGCCUGCACGUGUGAGGGAGAGGACAUCGUGUCGGUCCUUUGCAAAAUCCACAAAGAGACAGGGAGAGAAGGAGGGUGGACACUCUGUAGUCUCGAGUAUCCGAGCUUUUGCGCUAUUUCCUCUCGGAUGCGAUUAAACCUAGACGCACAGGUGAAUUAAAACCCCAGGGUGGAAUUUGAAAUAUUUGGAGGAUAUGGACUGGUGGAGUGGAGUUAGCCUGGUGUGCAAAAAAAUGCCGGGAAUUUCAGCCCCUUAUUUAUCACCUCACAAUGAAGUCAAGCUGCCACCAGACAAGAUGAGGAGCAGCAAUCAGCCUGCAGAUGGAAACAAGGGUGGGUGGUUGGAAGGCUGGAUAAAGGCUGCUGGAUGACUGAACUCAGAGACCCGGCGCAGCUCAUCAUCAUUGCCAUGGGCUCUUGUCUUCUUCCUCUCCUCCUGUGGCUUGUACCUCCAUCCAGGGGUCCAGUAGAGCCAGUGAAGCCCAGGCGGGGAGCUAGUGAGUGGGCCGGGAAGGAUGGAGAAGGUCCCCAAAGGCUCAGAUCACCUCUGGAGCUACCGGCAUGCAGGAGAAAUCAAUAUGAAACAGAAAACCUUCACAGCUCUGAGUGGGGUUUCCUGUGUUUUAAGUGUGUGGCCUACGGGCCUGCAGACCUCCAAAAGACAGGUCCUGUGUGGUUCUCUCAGCUGCAGCCCUGGCUCCUUGGACUGGACCUCAGUCCCAAUCUCCACUGGCUGUGUGUGUGGUUCUGCUGAAGGGGAUUUCUCCCCAAAUAAUACCCAAUGCCCAGAACGUUGAAAGACUGCCAAGAGGGAUGCUCCUUUCUCUUGCCUUUUUUUUCCAUCAUAAGAUUGACGUAUCCCCCCAACCUCCUGCCUCGGGCUGAUAAAAAAAUAAUAAUAAUAAAAAAAAAAACACAGUUCGGGAGCUCUACUUUUGACUCAUUCUCCAUCCUCGACUCGACCGUUGUUUAUUCCCCCAACUAGUUUUUACAUUUGACAAAGAGACAGAUCUUUAUUUUCUCUACCACUCGCUUGGCUUGCUGUUACUAUGGUGAGCUGUAGACACGUGUCUGUUCAAACAAGAAAUACUGGCACACGAAGUAUGAGCUUUUUUUUUUCUCCAUGAUGUCUAUUAUUCAAUUUCAGACUGUUUAAAAAAAACUGACUGAACAGCAAAGAGGGCUGGAGAUCAUAGAGCAGAGAGACCUUGUAGUGGAGAUGGUA